rnacentral:lncRNA from 1 species
CUAAGAUAGAAAACUUAGUCUGAUGAAUCUUUCUCCUAAAAUAUAAAAAAAAGAAAAAGAAAGAAAGAGGAAUUAGUCUGAUGAAUUUUCUCCUAGGAUCGAUAUCUUAGUCUGAUGAAUCUUUCUCCUAAGACAGAAGACCUAAUCUAUGAACUUGCUAGUCAAAUAUUCUUGGUUUUACUCACGGGUGAAGAAUAUCUUAGUCAAGUCUUUAGUUUUACUCUCUUUAUUGCAUCAGUAGCAUAAGUAUGUUUACAGUUUUGAUAACAACUCGCCGAUCUUUCUAGUGCAAACUGUGGCAGAAAAUUUUAUUUGUUUUGUUUUUGAUUGCAGGCACCCACUUGGAAAAUGAGGGAAGAUAUUUCAGAGUUCAUUUCAGAAUUAGUUCAAGUUUCAAGUCAGUAUCAGGCACCCACAUGGAGAACAAGGGAAGUCAUUUCAAAAUUCAAUUCAAGUAGAAGUAGCAGAAGCUCGCGGCAAGAAUGCGAGUCAACAAUCGUAGGUGACCAAUAGAAGUAGUCUCAAUAAAAAAAGAAAAAAGAAAGAAAAAAAAAGAAAAAAGAAAGAAAAUAAGUAAAUCAAAAUGCAAAGCCGAGACAAGAGGUGGAUUGCGGAAGACAUGACUAAAGUCACAAGCAUGGUGUGUCCGGUUUUGAUCCAAGAAGCUGAAGAAGAAUGAACUAGCACCUAGUGAGCAUCAAUGUUCAGAUCUGAAGUCUGCAUGAAGAACCAUUCAAGACUCAAGAUCAAGCUUCAGAAGACUUAUAGAUAGGAAUCUUGUAACUCAUAGUUGACAGUCUUAGUUAGUCGUUUUCAUAGUUUUGAUUUUUGAUGUAAUAACAGGACCACGGACCGGAACCUCGAUGGCACCUCGAUCGGCUCUCCACCUCAGUACACUCCUUUAGUUAGUCACUUUCUUAGUUUUGAUUUUGAUGUGAUAACAGGACCACGGACCGUAACCUCGACAGCACCUCGAUCAGCUCUCCACCUCGGUAUACUCCAUCAUCUAUUCACUUCUGAACUACACGUGGUCUGAUUCCUUUAUAGCCAAGGAUAUGUAGGCAGCUCAGAUGCCAGGGCUCGGCCACAUUCUCCUUUCUUUUAGCUUUUGGUCUUUUUAAAUAAGGGUCGGGUCAAAAAACCUGUCUAGUCGUUCUUUGUCUAAAAAUACUUUGUAUUUUCAAUCAAAGAGGGGCAGCUGUAGACAUGUGAUUUUUGACACUCCCCAAGAUUUUUCAUAUUUUAGUAUUUAAAUAUUUAAUUUAUGUCUAAUAUAGUUAUUUCAAUAAAUUUUGGCUCUUUUACAUUACUUUAAGAACAAAAAUCAAAAAUUACAAAAAUAGUUCCAUAUUUUUCUAGUUAAUUCACGUAUUAGAUAUUUUUAGGAGGAUAUAUUACUUUAACCCUAUUUUUAUUCUAAUAUAAUCCUUGAAAAUACCAAAAAUAGUUCCAACUUUAAUUUUUAGUUUUAUUUUUAAUAAAAAUAACUUAUUAAAAUUAAUGUAGAGUUUGUAUAGGUAUUAAAUUUGAAUUUUCAGUCCUUUUUGGCCCAAUUUUAUAAAUUUCGGAGUCCAAUUCAAAUAUGAGCCCAAAAUUAAACAAACCAACCCAGUACCCUAUGUAACCCAUCAGAUUUUCCUUCUUUGGGGAAUUUAAAAACGAAGAUCUAGAAAAACCCUAAAAGAGAAGGGUCUUCUUCUUACACAAGAUAAAACAAAAACAAAAAAUCCUAGGACCCUAAAAACAAGAGACAACCGCUACAAACGACUACCUACCUUCAGCCGUAGAACACAAACCCAUUUAUCUCCAUCGCUAGACGGAACCAAAUCUGACCGGAAUCAUGUAAUUCUGAUGACUCUCCAGUGAAUCCGGAGAAGCAGGUGUUCGAACCAGCAACUCUCGUCCUCUAUUCAUCUUUUAAGAAUAGCAGCAAACCCCAAAACUCUUGUCGUCUUUUCAAAUCUUGGGUUGUCAUUACUCAGUCUUUAAUUUUGGGGUUAGAUUUUGAAAUUUUGUCUAGUUUCAGGGGUUCUUGUUCUCGGUUAUCGGUUCUAGUUCGAUGAGGGCCUGUGCUGAGGCUCUCAGAUAUGAUUGAGGUCCGUUCGAGAUGGUCUGUUGGUUUUGGUCGGGGUUAAAUCAAGUCCGAGUUUGUUUUUUUGAGUUCGUCGAGGUCUGGUCAAGGUUCAGCCGUGUUUUGCUAUUGUUCGACGAGCUGUCCGCCUGUAAUUACGAAAGGUUCUGUUCAAGUUUUCUCCUAUGCAUUUUCUGUUUGGCCGAUUGUAUUUCCGACUUAAGCCUAUAUUGUCAAUCAAAGUUUUUUGAGAUGACUAAGGUGCCGAUUCGAGUUUCCAUUCGCGGUACGUUACAUUUUUGAGAUCAAAAUAGUGAAGCAAUCAAUUUUCCGGCUACAUUGGUCUAAUUCUCUCAUCCUUUAUCCAUUUUAUUCAAAGCUUCAUGUUAAAUGUUUGUUUGGUGAUAUGAUUAUGUUAUUAUGUGAUUAUUCUCCGUAGUUUCAAAUUUACUUAUUGGUUAUUGUUGAACAUGAUUUUAUCACAUUGUAGAAAUCGGGUUGUUGGGUAAAUGUAAAAGAGAUUUAGGUGUAGGAUAAAUUAUAUUGGCCUUUAUUCUUGUUUAUUUACUUUAUUUUCAGUACACCAUUCGCUAGGAGAAUGAUUAGGCCGAUCGCGAGAGGUUGUUUACCAUAGUUAAAUUUAUCCGGGGAAUGCCCCAAAGAAUUUGUAUAUAUUAUUAUCCGGGGUAUGCCCUGAAGCAUCAUGUAUUUGGAGGCCGUGAUGAACACUGUGGAGGAAGUACAAUUUAGGCUAGCUUUUUUUAAUUUAUUUAUUAGGUGGGUCCUCGAGCUCUUGUGUUUUUUUUGUGCUUUUUCUUUUCUAUGUUUAGUUAUACCUCAAUCGAAUAUUUUAAUAGCCAACUAGAUUGAGUACGCAACUGUGACUUUCACGGGACUUGGGGAGUUCCUAACACCUUCUCCCCGAGUCAAAUGAACCCCCUCACCCGAAUCUCUGGUGUAUACUUAGUUUUAGAGUCUCAAGUGUUUUGAAAGGAAAAUUACUAUUUUUGGAAAAUCGGUGACCUGACACACCGAAGUUAAAUAUCAGGUGGCGACUCUGAGUUAAUCCUUUUGUACACCAUUUUCGUCACUUUCAAUUGAAAACACUUUUCAAGCUUUUAUUAAAUCCUUUUAGUUAUUUAAAUGAGUUUAGUGAGCUUUUUUAAAAAAAAAAGGGUGUGACAAAUUUAAGAUCAUGAUUCAACAUUCUGUUUCUCAUUGCAUUUUCUUAUUUGGACUUCACAUUGAGAUUCAAGUAUAUUUUUCUGGAAAUGGGGCAAAAGAGGUAAAGAAGCAGUAGUUACAACAGAACAGAAACAAACAAGCAACCAAUGUGAAAUAGGCAAUAACAGUGAUUCCCAGCACCUAACUUGAAACCAGUUCUGCUAUUUAAACCAUUUCUCUAUUUCAGCAAUUACACUAUCAAUUUUCAAGAAUUCUUUGCCACAAAGAAUCAGAAAAUACCAAACCAGAAGCAAAAUUUUUAUUUUAAUAAUGUAGAAACUCAUAAUUUUUAUAAGAAAGCUCAGCCGUUUUAGUUUUGGGAUCUAUCUCUCUUCAAAAUCUGCCUUCAACCUCAAGUAACAAUGUCUUUAUAGGCAAGCUAUUAGUGUAGCCUAAAAUAAAUUAAAAUUAUAUUUGAACCCUUUUUCAACUUUUGUUUUAGCUCCCAUACCCCUAAUACAAAUUUCAAAAUUUCAAAACAGUCCCAAACCCCCUUUCUUGAAAGCUUUCUAAGGUUGUUACAAAAGAUUCCCCUAUCUAUACCUUAGCAGCCCUGUUUUUUACUGCAGGAAACCAAAUGGGUAUGGGUCACCUUGACCCAAGGUUUCAAUUCAACAAACUGGGCUAAUCUCCUCCCUUUGGACCGAGUUCCAAUUCAGAAACCCAAUAAAAAAGAAUUGAAAGCAAAACAAAUAAUAGUAAAAGAAAAAUAUUUGGGCGCAAAUGAAUUGUAAGCCCGAAGUAACACAUGCUGCAACAUUUCAACAAUUAAUAAAUUAGGCUAAAUGACUUACUAGCUAGAAUUUAACCAAACUGACCAAAAACAGUUUCAGUUUUAACCAAGCAUGACCAAAUGAAUAAUAAAAUAAAAAAGAUCGGNNNNNNNNNNNNNNNNNNNNNNNNNNNNNNNNNNNNNNNNNNNNNNNNNNNNNNNNNNNNNNNNNNNNNNNNNNNNNNNNNNNNNNNNNNNNNNNNNNNNNNAAAAAAAAAAAAAAAAAAAAAAAAAAAAAAAAAAAAAAAGAAGCAGAGAAAUGGAAGAAGAAAAAUGAAAAAACGAAUAAAUAGAAGAAAAAGAAGAAAAUACCUACUAAAAGCUCGGAUAAUGACAAGUAGAGCUUGAGUCUUCAAAUCCUCCGAUUUUCCGGCCAAAUUUGAUAUUAUUAGAGCACAUGAAUAAAAUCAGAUUAAACCCGAAAUUUCAACAAAAUCUUAACUUGAAAUUUUUAGGGUUCUGUGAUUUAAUACUCGGGGAGUCUCGGCCAUGUUCGAGGGAAAUGGAGCGGGGAUUUGGAAAGAUAGGAGUGAGGGGGUCAUUGGAUGUUAGUUUGGGGAUGGUUGGAGGUGGCGCCGCCACCGGAUGGUGGUGGGAUUUUGGGGAGGCUACUAGGAUUUGGGGGUUGGUCUUAAGAGAGAGGGGUGUGAGAGAGAUGAG